GAUGAGUAACUGGUGUGCUUCCUGGUCUUCAAAACCAGUGUGGGGCGUUAAGAGCGUCCUGGGUGGGUUCGAUUCCCACAUGCC
rnacentral:tRNA from 2 species